rnacentral:rRNA from 1 species
CCUACGGGAGGCAGCAGUGGGGAAUAUUGCACAAUGGGCGCAAGCCUGAUGCAGCGACGCCGCGUGGGGGAUGACGGCCUUCGGGUUGUAAACUCCUUUCGCUAGGGACGAAGCAUUUUGUGACGGUGCCUAGAUAUGAAGCACCGGCUAACUACGUGCCAGCAGCCGCGGUAAUACGUCGGGUGCGAGCGUUGUCCGGAAUUACUGGGCGGAAAGGGCUCGUAGGUGGUUUGUCGCGGCUUUUGUGAAAUUCCGGGGCUUAAAGCCGGGCGUGCAGGCGAUAACGGCCUAACUUGAGUACUGUAGGGGUAAGUGGAAUGCGUGGUGUAGCGGUGAAAUGCGCAGAUAUCAGGAAGAACACCGAUGGCGAAGGCAGGUUACUGGGCAGUUACUGACGCUGAGGCGCGAAAGCAUGGGUAGCGAACAGGAUUAGAUACCCGAGUAGUC